GUACGGCGAGUGAGCGGCAACAGCUCAAAUUUGAAAUCUGGCCUCUUUGGGGUCCGAGUUGUAAUUUGUAGAGGAUGUUUCGGGUACCGCCUCGGUCUAAAUUUCUUGGAACAGAAUGUCAAAGAGGGUGAGAAUCCCGUCUUGGACCGGCGGUAGGGCCCAUGUGAAACUCCUUCGACGAGUCGAGUUGUUUGGGAAUGCAGCUCAAAAUGGGUGGUAAAUUUCAUCUAAAGCUAAAUAUUGGCCAGAGACCGAUAGCGCACAAGUAGAGUGAUCGAAAGAUGAAAAGCACUUUGAAAAGAGAGUUAAACAGUAUGUGAAAUUGUUGAAAGGGAAGCGCUUGCAACCAGACUUGAGCGCGGCGGUUCCCCCUUCCUUUUGGUUGGGUUAUUCCGUCGUGUCCAGGCCAACAUCGGUUCUGGGGGUCGGUUAAAGGCUCGAGGAAUGUACCUACUCCUUCGGGGGUAGACUUAUAGCCUCGGGUGUCAUGCGACCUCCCGGGACCGAGGAACGCGCUUCGGCUCGGAUGUUGGCGUAAUGGUUGUCAGCGAC
rnacentral:rRNA from 1 species